UAAAACCUGUAAAACUAAUUACAUCCUCUGAAUGCAACUCAGACACUUUACUUAAGCUAAGGCCUU
rnacentral:tRNA from 1 species